ACGAACGCUGGCGGCGUGCCUAAUACAUGCAAGUAGAACGCUGAAGAGAGGAGCUUGCUCUUCUUGGAUGAGUUGCGAACGGGUGAGUAACGCGUAGGUAACCUACCUUGUAGCGGGGGAUAACUAUUGGAAACGAUAGCUAAUACCGCAUAACAAUGGAUGACACAUGUCAUUUAUUUGAAAGGGGCAAUUGCUCCACUACAAGAUGGACCUGCGUUGUAUUAGCUAGUAGGUGAGGUAACGGCUCACCUAGGCGACGAUACAUAGCCGACCUGAGAGGGUGAUCGGCCACACUGGGACUGAGACACGGCCCAGACUCCUACGGGAGGCAGCAGUAGGGAAUCUUCGGCAAUGGGGGCAACCCUGACCGAGCAACGCCGCGUGAGUGAAGAAGGUUUUCGGAUCGUAAAGCUCUGUUGUAAGUCAAGAACGAGUGUGAGAGUGGAAAGUUCACACUGUGACGGUAGCUUACCAGAAAGGGACGGCUAACUACGUGCCAGCAGCCGCGGUAAUACGUAGGUCCCGAGCGUUGUCCGGAUUUAUUGGGCGUAAAGCGAGCGCAGGCGGUUUGAUAAGUCUGAAGUUAAAGGCUGUGGCUCAACCAUAGUUCGCUUUGGAAACUGUCAAACUUGAGUGCAGAAGGGGAGAGUGGAAUUCCAUGUGUAGCGGUGAAAUGCGUAGAUAUAUGGAGGAACACCGGUGGCGAAAGCGGCUCUCUGGUCUGUAACUGACGCUGAGGCUCGAAAGCGUGGGGAGCGAACAGGAUUAGAUACCCUGGUAGUCCACGCCGUAAACGCUGAGUGCUAGGUGUUGGAUCCUUUCCGGGAUUCAGUGCCGCAGCUAACGCAUUAAGCACUCCGCCUGGGGAGUACGACCGCAAGGUUGAAACUCAAAGGAAUUGACGGGGGCCCGCACAAGCGGUGGAGCAUGUGGUUUAAUUCGAAGCAACGCGAAGAACCUUACCAGGUCUUGACAUCCCGAUGCUAUUUCUAGAGAUAGAAAGUUACUUCGGUACAUCGGUGACAGGUGGUGCAUGGUUGUCGUCAGCUCGUGUCGUGAGAUGUUGGGUUAAGUCCCGCAACGAGCGCAACCCCUAUUGUUAGUUGCCAUCAUUCAGUUGGGCACUCUAGCGAGACUGCCGGUAAUAAACCGGAGGAAGGUGGGGAUGACGUCAAAUCAUCAUGCCCCUUAUGACCUGGGCUACACACGUGCUACAAUGGUUGGUACAACGAGUUGCGAGUCGGUGACGGCAAGCUAAUCUCUUAAAGCCAAUCUCAGUUCGGAUUGUAGGCUGCAACUCGCCUACAUGAAGUCGGAAUCGCUAGUAAUCGCGGAUCAGCACGCCGCGGUGAAUACGUUCCCGGGCCUUGUACACACCGCCCGUCACACCACGAGAGUUUGUAACACCCGAAGUCGGUGAGGUAACCUUUUGGAGCCAGCCGCCUAAGGUGGGAUAGAUGAUUGGGGUG
rnacentral:rRNA from 1 species